rnacentral:piRNA from 1 species
UUAAUCGUUCGUAGAAUGUAU